UGUCUCUACUCCAGCCUUUGUCUCUCUCUGUCUCUCCUCAAGCCUUUGUCUCUCUGUCUCUCCUCGAGCCUUUGUCUCUCCCCUGUCUCUGCUGGAGUCUUUGCCUCUCCCUGUCUCUGCUCCAGCCUUUGUCUCUCUCUGCCUCUCCCAUCUCUGCUCCUCCUUUGGUCUCUCCCUCUGCCCUCUGUCCCUGCCCUACCCCUUUAGCCACCCGGCCUCCUCCCAAGAUGGGGGGAGAUCCCUGUCACCUCUUUGUCUCCAUGGCACUUGCUGGCAGCGCCAGGCCCCUGGGACCCGGGGAUGCGGGGAGACUGGCUCCCACGGGUGUCCCCCCUUUUGGUUCCCUAGAAGGGCCGCCCGCCCGCUUCUGGAGCCGGGGCCCCUCUGGAAGGCUCCGACAGCCUGCCGGGCCUUCUCUGGGGCACGACUUUCCCUUGCUCUGACGCAGCCAGCCUGGCCCAGGCCUG
rnacentral:lncRNA from 1 species